UACGUAGGGGGCAAGCGUUGUCCGGAAUUAUUGGGCGUAAAGAGCGCGUAGGCGGUCCGAUAAGUCGGCUGUGAAAGUCAGGGGCUCAACCCUUGGAAGCCGGCCGAUACUGUCGGACUAGAGUCCGGAAGAGGCGAGUGGAAUUCUCGGUGUAGCGGUGAAAUGCGCAGAUAUCGGGAGGAACACCAAUGGCGAAGGCAGCUCGCUGGGACGGUACUGACGCUGAGGCGCGAAAGCGUGGGGAGCAAACAGG
rnacentral:rRNA from 1 species